rnacentral:rRNA from 1 species
GACGAACGCUGGCGGCGUGCCUAAUACAUGCAAGUCGAACGCAGCGGCGGACGGGUGAGUAAUGCCUCGGAAUCUGCCGGGUAGUGGGGGAUAACGUCCGGAAACGGGCGCUAAUACCGCAUACUAUCCAAUGAGCCUAGGUCGGAUUAGCUAGUUGGUGGGGUAAAGGCCUACCAAGGCGACGAUCCGUAACUGGUCUGAGAGGAUGAACAGUCACACUGGAACUGAGACACGGUCCAGACUCCUACGGGAGGCAGCAGUGGGGAAUAUUGGACAAUGGGCGAAAGCCUGAUCCAGCCAUGCCGCGUGUGUGAAGAAGGUCUUCGGAUUGUAAAGCACUUUAAGUUGGGAGGCGUUACCAACAGAAUAAGCACCGGCUAACUUCGUGCCAGCAGCCGCGGUAAUAC